GUGCUGAUGCUGGUGCCGGUGCUGAUGCCGGUACCCGCGGGCAUCCUCCCUCCAGCCCCGGGGUGAAGGGGCCGGCGCGGCGGGGCUGGACCGGUGUGAGCGGUUGGUGAAGUGCCCGCGGAAGAGCCCAGAGGAGGCUGGGCACAGUCAGCGCGCUCCUUUCGUAAGGCAGGAGUCUGAUCUCAGCCGUGAGCUGGAGGAGUUUCAGCUGCGACGAUGCUGGGCUGACGCAGGGCCGGACUCGCGGCUGCUGGGCAAGGUACACUGAUGGGGGAGAGCAGGAGCAGGGGGGCACUGAAACCACCAC